GGUGUUGUGAUCUGCAUCAUUUCUUAUUGCCUCAUCUACUACCUUGCUGAAAUAUGCGUGAGGGUUACAUAAGCAUUCAGCCGUCUCCUUUAAGAUAAAGUCAGCGGCUUCAAUAUCCUCAUUGAUGUUUUUGCCAGAAACUUCUUUGUAGUGUUUGUAAAUAGCCUUGAGAUGGGGUUUGCUUCUUGUUGUUAGUAUCCUUAUCACCUCAUCAUCGUCAAUGGGAUUCUUCUUAUCACCAUUCUUAAUAGCUUUAGCGAUCAGUUUUGCUUCAGAUUUUGCAGCGUCUUCACCAACCUUUGGCCCUUCAUACCUAUAGGCACUCACUAGCGCUACCAGGAGCUUACGCUCACUGCCAGUGACAUGGAUGGCAACAUCUUCUUCAAUGGAGU
rnacentral:misc_RNA from 1 species